ensembl:lncRNA
GUCCUGAUGAACGCGCCCCAUGUUGUAAGCUAUAGUUAUUGGCUAAUGAGGUAACACGACUGAACAAGGUGUAGCUUUAAACAAAUGGUUUAACGGUCCAGUCUGCAAGCAGGGUAGCCUAGUGGUUAGAGCGUAGAGGUGGCAGGUAGCCUAGUGGUUAGAGUGUAGAGGUGGCAGGUAGCCUAGUGGUUAGAGUGUAGAGGUGGCAGGUAGCCUAGUGGUUAGAGUGUAGAGGUGGCAGGUAGCCUAGUGGUUAGAGUGUAGAGGCGGCAGGGUAGCCUAGUGGUUAGAGUGUAGAGGCGGCAGGGUAGCCUAGUGGUUAGAGUGUAGAGGCGGCAGGGUAGCCUAGUGGUUAGAGUGUAGAGGCGGCAGGUAGCCUAGUGGUUAGAGUGUAGAGGCGGCAGGUAGCCUAGUGGUUAGAGUGUAGAGGCGGCAGGUAGCCUAGUGGUUAGAGUGUAGAGGCAGCAGGUAGCCUAGUGGUUAGAGUGUAGAGGCGGCAGGUAGCCUAGUGGUUAGAG